CGCGGCCUAUCAGCUUGUUGGUGAGGUAACGGCUCACCAAGGCUACGACGCGUAGCGGGUCUGAGAGGACGACCCGUCACAUUGGGACUGAGAUACGGCCCAGACUCCUACGGGAGGCAGCAGUGGGGAAUAUUGCGCAAUGGUCGAAAGACUGACGCAGCGACGCCGCGUGUGGGAGGAAGCCCCUAGGGGUGUAAACCACUGUCAGAAGGGAAGAAUCCCGUGCAUUCGAAUAGGGUGUGCGGCUGACGGUACCUUCAAAGGAAGCGCCGGCUAACUCCGUGCCAGCAGCCGCGGUAAGACGGAGGGCGCAAGCGUUGUUCGGAAUUACUGGGCGUAAAGCGCGUGCAGGCGGCCUUUUAAGUCCCUCGUGAAAUUCCGGGGCUCAACCCCGGAGGUGCAAGAGAUACUGGAAGGCUAGAGACCGGUAGAGGCUAGUGGAAUUCCUGGUGUAGCGGUGGAAUGCGUAGAUAUCAGGAGGAACACCGGUGGCGAAGGCGACUAGCUGGGCCGGGUCUGACGCUCAUGCGCGAAAGCGUGGGAAGCAAACAGGAUUAGAUACCCUGGUAGUCCACGCCGUAAACGAUGGGCACUAGAUGCCGGGCCUUUCGACGGGUUCGGUGUCGCAGCUAACGCAUUAAGUGCCCCGCCUGGGGAGUACGG
rnacentral:rRNA from 1 species